rnacentral:sRNA from 1 species
UUUCUAGGGACCUCAAGCUGUUCUUGUGGCCUCAGUAUAGGAUAUUGGUGUCCAACUGGUUUAUGUGCCAACAAGGGGAGUGGGAAAAUACCAAUUUUGUGAUCUGGAAAUACUCUAGGAAUAAAGUGAUAAAUCAUGUACUUUUCAUGGUUUAACUUUUAUGUCUAGAUGGGUCAAUGCCUUCAGAAAUGGAAUCCAGUAGAAAUGAUACCAAAGAUGAUCUUGGUAAUUUAAAUGUGCCUGAUUCAUCUCUCCCCACUGAAAAUGAAGCCACUGGCCCUGGCUUUGUUCCUCCACCUCUUGCUCCAAUCAGAGGUCCAUUGUUUCCAGUGGAUACAAGAGGCCCAUUCUUGAGAAGAGGACCUCCUUUCCCCCCACCUCCUCCAGGAGCCGUGUUUGGAGCUUCUCGAGAUUAUUUUCCACCAAGGGAUUUCCCAGGUCCACCACAUGCUCCAUUUGCAAUGAGAAAUGUCUAUCCACCGAGGGGUUUUCCUCCUUACCUUCCCCCAAGACCUGGAUUUUUCCCCCCACCCCCACAUUCUGAAGGUAGAAGUGAGUUCCCUUCAGGUUUGAUUCCACCUUCAAAUGAGCCUGCUACUGAACAUCCAGAACCACAGCAAGAAACCUGACAAUAUUUUUGCUCUCUUCAAAAGUAAUUUUCACUGAUCUCAUUUUCAGUUUAAGUAACUGCUGUUACUUAAGUGAUUACACUUUUGCUCAAAUUGAAGCUUAAUGGAAUUAUAAUUCUCAGGAUAGUAUUUUGUAAAUAAAGAUGAUUUAAAUAUGAAUCUUAUGAGUAAAUUAUUUCAAUUUUAUUUUAGAUGGUAUAACUAUUUGAAUUUGAUUAAUCCACUAUUAUAUAAACAAUAGUGGGAGUUUUAUAUAUGUAAUCUUGUAGGUGGGGAGGCUUUAAAUUCUGAAGUCUGUGUCUUUAUGCCGAGAACUGUAUUUACUGUGGUUGUAGACAAAUGUGAAAGUAACUUUAUGCUUAAAUAAAUUUUAGUUGAUUU